rnacentral:rRNA from 1 species
AUUGAACGCUGGCGGCAGGCCUAACACAUGCAAGUCGAACGAGUGGCGGACGGGUGAGUAAUGUCUGGGAAACUGCCUGAUGGAGGGGGAUAACUACUGGAAACGGUAGCUAAUACCGCAUACCAUCAGAUGUGCCCAGAUGGGAUUCGCUUGUUGGUGGGGUAACGGCUCACCAAGGCGACGAUCACUAGCUGGUACGAGAGGAUGACCGGCCACACUGGAACUGAGCCACGGUCCAGACUCCUACGGGAGGCAGCAGUGGGGAAUAUUGCACAAUGGGCGCACGCCUGAUGCAGCCAUGCCGCGUGUAUGAAGAAGGCCUUCGGUUUGUAAAGUCCUUUCAGCGUGGAGGCGUUACCCGCAGAAGGAGCACCGGCUAACUCCGUGCCAGCAGCCGCGGUAAUUC